CUGCGCCACAAGUGGCAAUCACUUUUAUUGGGCCUAAAGCGUCCGUAGCCUGUCUUGUUAAUGCUUUGUGAAAUCGUCAUACUUAAUGUGACGACGUGCAGAGAAAACUGCAAGACUUGAAACCGGGAGGAGUCAGAGGUAUUUUGGGAGGAGCGGUAAAAUGCUAUAAUUCCUAAAAGACCACCUGUGGCGAAGGCGUCUGACUAGAACGGAUUUGACGGUGAGGGACGAAAGCCAGGGGAGCGAUCCGGAUUAGAUACCCGAGUAGUC
rnacentral:rRNA from 1 species